GACGAACGCUGGCGGCGUGCUUAACACAUGCAAGUCGAACGGUGAACUCCGCUUGCGGGGGGAUCAGUGGCGAACGGGUGAGUAACACGUGGGCAACCUGCCCUCAGCUCUGGGAUAACUCCAAGAAAUUGGGGCUAAUACCGGAUAUGACCGCUGACCGCAUGGUCUGGUGGUGGAAAGAUUUAUCGGCUGGGGAUGGGCCCGCGGCCUAUCAGCUUGUUGGUGGGGUAGUGGCCUACCAAGGCGACGACGGGUAGCCGGCCUGAGAGGGUGACCGGCCACACUGGGACUGAGACACGGCCCAGACUCCUACGGGAGGCAGCAGUGGGGAAUAUUGCGCAAUGGGCGAAAGCCUGACGCAGCGACGCCGCGUGGGGGAUGACGGCCUUCGGGUUGUAAACCUCUUUCAGCAGGGACGAAGCGAAAGUGGCGGUACCUGCAGAAGAAGCACCGGCCAACUACGUG
rnacentral:rRNA from 1 species